rnacentral:rRNA from 1 species
CCUACGGGAGGCAGCAGUGAGGAAUAUUGGUCAAUGGACGAGAGUCUGAACCAGCCAAGUAGCGUGAAGGAUGACUGCCCUAUGGGUUGUAAACUUCUUUUAUAUGGGAAUAAAAUGUUCCACGUGUGGGUUUUUGUAUGUACCAUAUGAAUAAGGAUCGGCUAACUCCGUGCCAGCAGCCGCGGUAAUACGGAGGAUCCGAGCGUUAUCCGGAUUUAUUGGGUUUAAAGGGAGCGUAGGUGGAUUGUUAAGUCAGCUGUGAAAGUUUGCGGAUCAACCGUAAAAUUGCAGUUGAAACUGGCAGUCUUGAGUACAGUAGAGGUGGGUGGAAGUCGUGGUGUAGCGGUGAAAUGCUUAGAUAUCACGAAGAACUCCGAUUGCGAAGGCAGCUCACUGGACUGCAACUGACACUGAGGCUCGAAAGUGUGGGUAUCAAACAGGAUUAGAUACCCGUGUAGUC